AAGAUCCCUUCCGUAGGUGAACCUGCGGAAG
rnacentral:rRNA from 1 species